rnacentral:rRNA from 1 species
AGAGUUUGAUCCUGGCUCAGGACGAACGCUGGCGGCGUGCUUAACACAUGCAAGUCGAACGGUGAACCAUUUCGGUGGGGAUCAGUGGCGAACGGGUGAGUAACACGUGGGCAACCUGCCCUCAGCUCUGGGAUAACUCCAAGAAAUUGGGGCUAAUACCGGAUAUGACUGCUGACCGCAUGGUCUGGUGGUGGAAAGAUUUAUCGGCUGGGGAUGGGCCCGCGGCCUAUCAGCUUGUUGGUGGGGUAGUGGCCUACCAAGGCGACGACGGGUAGCCGGCCUGAGAGGGUGACCGGCCACACUGGGACUGAGACACGGCCCAGACUCCUACGGGAGGCAGCAGUGGGGAAUAUUGCGCAAUGGGCGAAAGCCUGACGCAGCGACGCCGCGUGGGGGAUGACGGCCUUCGGGUUGUAAACCUCUUUCAGCAGGGACGAAGCGAAAGUGACGGUACCUGCAGAAGAAGCACCGGCCAACUACGUGCCAGCAGCCGCGGUAAUACGUAGGGUGCAAGCGUUGUCCGGAAUUAUUGGGCGUAAAGAGCUCGUAGGCGGUCUGUCGCGUCGGCUGUGAAAUCCCGAGGCUCAACCUCGGGUCUGCAGUCGAUACGGGCAAACUAGAGUAUUGCAGGGGAGACUGGAAUUCCUGGUGUAGCGGUGAAAUGCGCAGAUAUCAGGAGGAACACCGGUGGCGAAGGCGGGUCUCUGGGCAAUAACUGACGCUGAGGAGCGAAAGCGUGGGGAGCGAACAGGAUUAGAUACCCUAGUAGUCC